ACUAGGCGAAACCAUAACCGGUUGAGUAAGGCGAGGUUCUCCCGGUGCGGCCAAAUUGAUCACGAUCACCAAAACGGAACCCUGGCUAGUACCGACCCACAAGGAAGCCGAAACGGCCGUACCUAAUUUGCGAGCCAAGGUGUCGGCGAAAGUGAGAGUGGUGACGGCCUCGUUCGGAUGAUUCUCCAAACUGGAAGUGCUGGAACUCCUGGAUCGCGUGAACGCCGUGUCCGAUUUGUCUAAAAUGAAACCGCAAGUUCGUGAUAUUUCUGGCACGUGACACAGCCGAGCGACAAGUCGAAGAGAAGAUGGAAUUGUUAUGUGAAGAAGAGAAGACAGAAAGAUAGAUAGAAAGAAACAAAAGGAAUCUCGGUUGACACAACAGUUCAAACGGCAACGAAGAGAACACAUUGAUAUGACACAAGUUAGAAAAGAAAGAAGGACAUCAUGAGCAUGAAAUUUGUCUGUCGAUUUCAUAC